rnacentral:rRNA from 1 species
UUCCGGUUGAUCUGCCGGACCCGACUGCUAUCAGAGUGGGACUAAGCCAUGCGAGUCAACGCAGUAAUGCGUGGCAUACGGCUCAGUAACACGUAGUCAACAUGCCCAGGGGACGUGGAUAACCUCGGGAAACUGAGGAUAAACCGCGAUAGGCCAAGGUUUCUGGAAUGGACAAUGGCUCAAACCUAUAUGGCCUCUGGAUUGGACUGCGGCCGAUCAGGCUGUUGGUGAGGUAAUGGCCCACCAAACCUGUAACCGGUACGGGCUCUGAGAGGAGGAGCCCGGAGAUGGGCACUGAGACAAGGGCCCAGGCCCUAUGGGGCGCAGCAGGCGCGAAACCUCUGCAAUAGGCGAAAGCUUGACAGGGUUACUCUGAGUGAUGUCCGCUAAGGGCAUCUUUUGGCACUUCUAUAAAUAG